AUCAUUUACAUUUAAUGGGUUGGAAGACGAAACGAGUGUAGAGAGAGAGAGAAAGCAGCGAGAGAGUGAGAGUGAGCAGAGUUUGAGAGAAGGAAGAUGGAGACUCCUCCGCAACAGGUGGUGAAGAAGAAGGAGACAAGGGGACGAAAACCGAAGCCCAAGGACGAGAAGAAAGAGGAACAACAACAUGCGAAGGCUUUGAAGGAAGGGAGAAAAACGCAGCAACAGCACCAACAACAACAACAACAACCUUCGGUCGACGAAAAGUACACGCAGUGGAAGUCCCUUGUUCCUGUUCUCUACGAUUGGCUCGCCAACCACAACCUCGUUUGGCCCUCUCUCUCUUGCAGGUGGGGCCCUCAGCUCGAACAAGCCACUUACAAGAAUCGCCAGCGUCUCUACCUUUCCGAGCAGACUGAUGGUAGCGUGCCGAAUACUCUGGUGAUUGCGAAUUGCGAGGUUGUGAAGCCUAGGGUUGCGGCUGCAGAGCACAUUUCUCAGUUUAAUGAAGAGGCGCGAUCCCCAUUUGUGAAGAAGUACAAGACCAUCAUACAUCCUGGCGAGGUUAACAGAAUCAGGGAAUUGCCACAAAAUUCCAAGAUAGUGGCUACACAUACAGAUAGCCCUGAUGUUCUUGUUUGGGAUGUUGAAAAUCAACCUAACCGUCAUGCUGUCCUUGGAGCCACAAACUCUCGUCCAGAUCUGAUAUUGACUGGUCACCAAGAUAAUGCAGAAUUCGCUCUUGCAAUGUGCCCAACUGAGCCCUAUGUUCUUUCAGGAGGUAAGGACAAAACGGUUGUGUUGUGGAGUAUUGAAGACCAUAUAACAUCUGCUGCAUCUGGAGGAUCAAUUAUUAAACCAAACUCCAAAUCUGGAGAAGGCAAUGAUAAAACUGUUGAUGGCCCUUCUGUUGGACCACGAGGUAUCUACUGUGGGCAUGAUGAUACUGUUGAAGAUGUGACUUUCUGCCCAUCUAGUGCACAGGAAUUCUGUAGUGUUGGAGAUGAUUCUUGUCUCAUCUUAUGGGAUGCACGUGUUGGCUCUAGCCCUGUGGUUAAGGUUGAAAAAGCUCAUGAUGCUGAUCUUCACUGUGUUGACUGGAACCCCCAUGAUAAUAAUCUGAUUCUUACUGGGUCAGCAGAUAAUUCUGUUCGCUUGUUUGAUCGCCGCAAUCUCACAUCUAAUGGAGUUGGGUCACCCAUCCAUAAAUUUGAGGGUCACAAAGCUGCUGUUCUUUGUGUUCAGUGGUCUCCAGACAAAUCAUCUGUAUUUGGAAGUUCAGCUGAAGAUGGUCUCUUAAACAUCUGGGACUAUGAGAAGGUUGGUAUAAAGAUAGAGCGAGCUGGAAAAUCAAUAAGUUCUCCCCCAGGGUUGUUUUUCCAGCAUGCAGGUCAUAGAGAUAAAGUAGUCGACUUCCAUUGGAAUGCAUAUGAUCCAUGGACUAUUGUUAGUGUGUCUGAUGACUGUGAAAGUACGGGUGGAGGGGGAACACUGCAGAUAUGGCGCAUGAGUGAUUUGAUCUACAGACCAGAAAAUGAGGUUUUGGCCGAGUUGGAGAAAUUCAAAUCUCAUGUGGUGGCGUGUGCUGCAAAGACCGAAAAAUGAUACACUGCCUCGUAGGCAAAAUGAGUUCUAUUAUUCUUGCUGUUGUAUUUAUUUAAUCUACAUUUGCGAUGAAUGUUUUGUAGCUUUACACCCACUCAUGGGGCUGGAGUAGGAAAACCUAGAUUAACAUAGAACUGACAAGGGUUUAUGGUUAGGGUUCUUUAAGUUGAUACAAUUCUAUUUACUGUUCGAUCCUUGAUUCAUGUGGCCCUUCACAUGUUUCUGGGGCUGGCAAAUUUGUAUGGACACCCUACUUAAUUCACCGACCGGAACAUACAUCAUUAGCUCAUGAUCUUUGGCAUUUGUGGUUCUAGAUGCUUAUGUUCUGCUUUAUGUUUUGGUCCCUACUAUAACAUGUUAUAACAUAAUUCUCUUGUGCAACCAUUGUUAGAUGGUAGCGACAUGGUAGUAGUAUAUGAUUUGAGGAGCAACUGACGAUA